rfam:Elusimicrobia bacterium GWA2_66_18 gwa2_scaffold_92, whole genome shotgun sequence.
AACCUGUGUAGCCCAGGGGAUUGGCCCUGGGGUAUCCACGACUCGACCGUAAUCGAGUGAGGCCACGGGAA